UACGGGGGAGCAAGCGUUGUUCGGAUUUACUGGGCGUAAAGGGCGCGUAGGCGGCCUCCGCAAGUCAGUUGUGAAAUCUCCGAGCUUAACUCGGAAAGGUCAACUGAUACUGCGGGGCUAGAGUGCGGAAGGGGCAACUGGAAUUCUUGGUGUAGCGGUGAAAUGCGUAGAUAUCAAGAGGAACACCUGCGGCGAAGGCGGGUUGCUGGGCCGACACUGACGCUGAGGUGCGAAAGCGUGGGGAGCAAACAGG
rnacentral:rRNA from 1 species